AUGCACGCUGGCGGCGUGCCUAAUACAUGCCAGUCGAGCGAACGGACGAGAAGCUUGCUUCUCUGAUGUUAGCGGCGGACGGGUGAGUAACACGUGGAUAACCUACCUAUAAGACUGGGAUAACUUCGGGAAACCGGAGCUAAUACCGGAUGAUAUUUUGAACCGCAUGGUUCAAAAGUGAAAGACGGUCUUGCUGUCACUUAUAGAUGGAUCCGCGCUGCAUUAGCUAGUUGGUAAGGUAACGGCUUACCAAGGCAACGAUGCAUAGCCGACCUGAGAGGGUGAUCGGCCACACUGGAACUGAGACACGGUCCAGACUCCUACGGGAGGCAGCAGUAGGGAAUCUUCCGCAAUGGGCGAAAGCCUGACGGAGCAACGCCGCGUGAGUGAUGAAGGUCUUCGGAUCGUAAAACUCUGUUAUUAGGGAAGAACAUAUGUGUAAGUAACUGUGCACAUCUUGACGGUACCUAAUCAGAAAGCCACGGCUAACUACGUG
rnacentral:rRNA from 1 species